rnacentral:tRNA from 1 species
GCCGUCGUAGCUCAGGGGUAGAGCGCGUCCAUGGUAAGGACGAAGUCCGGGGUUCAAAUCCCCGCGGCGGCU